rnacentral:rRNA from 1 species
UUUUAUGGAGAGUUUGAUCCUGGCUCAGGAUGAACGCUGGCGGCGUGCCUAAUACAUGCAAGUCGAGCGAACAGACGAGGAGCUUGCUCCUCUGACGUUAGCGGCGGACGGGUGAGUAACACGUGGAUAACCUACCUAUAAGACUGGGAUAACUUCGGGAAACCGGAGCUAAUACCGGAUAAUAUAUUGAACCGCAUGGUUCAAUAGUGAAAGACGGUUUUGCUGUCACUUAUAGUUGGAUCCGCGCCGCAUUAGCUAGUUGGUAAGGUAACGGCUUACCAAGGCAACGAUGCGUAGCCGACCUGAGAGGGUGAUCGGCCACACUGGAACUGAGACACGGUCCAGACUCCUACGGGAGGCAGCAGUAGGGAAUCUUCCGCAAUGGGCGAAAGCCUGACGGAGCAACGCCGCGUGAGUGAUGAAGGUCUUCGGAUCGUAAAACUCUGUUAUUAGGGAAGAACAAAUGUGUAAGUAACUAUGCACGUCUUGACGGUACCUAAUCAGAAAGCCACGGCUAACUACGUGCCAGCAGCCGCGGUAAUACGUAGGUGGCAAGCGUUAUCCGGAAUUAUUGGGCGUAAAGCGCGCGUAGGCGGUUUUUUAAGUCUGAUGUGAAAGCCCACGGCUCAACCGUGGAGGGUCAUUGGAAACUGGAAAACUUGAGUGCAGAAGAGGAAAGUGGAAUUCCAUGUGUAGCGGUGAAAUGCGCAGAGAUAUGGAGGAACACCAGUGGCGAAGGCGACUUUCUGGUCUGUAACUGACGCUGAUGUGCGAAAGCGUGGGGAUCAAACAGGAUUAGAUACCCUGGUAGUCCACGCCGUAAACGAUGAGUGCUAAGUGUUAGGGGGUUUCCGCCCCUUAGUGCUGCAGCUAACGCAUUAAGCACUCCGCCUGGGGAGUACGACCGCAAGGUUGAAACUCAAAGGAAUUGACGGGGACCCGCACAAGCGGUGGAGCA